GUGCUCACUUCAGCAGCACAUACACUAAAACUAGAAUGAUACAGAGAUUAGCAUGGCCCCUGUGAAAGGAUAACACACAAUUAGUGAAUCAUUCCAUGUUUGC